GUCUCAAGCCCAUCACAAGAAAGCAAGUACAGUGUGGAUUUCAAAUGGUGUGUAACUUCAGCUCCAGCUGGUUUUUGACAGCUGUUGCUGUGGUAAUAUUUUUUACAUGUGAUGGUGAUAGUCUCUGGUUCUCCCCAUCCCCACAAAGGCUGUUGAACCACAGCACCAGGAAGCCUGAGAAUGAAUCCUGAGGGCUCUAGCCCAGGCUUUGUCCCAGGCUUUCUGGUGUGUGCCCUCCUGGUAACAGUGAAAUUGAAGCUACUUACUCAUAGUGGUUGUUUCUCUGGUCUUGAGUGACUGUGUCCACAGUUCAUUUUUUUCCGGUAGGAAUAACUCCUUUUCUACAUCCACACUCCAUAGAGUCUCUCCUUUUCAGAUAUCCUGGGAUGAAAGAAUUUGGCUUUUUUUUUUUUUUUUUUUUUGACAUCUGUUUUCACUCUUAGGCUUUUAAACAAUAGUUAUUGCUCUUAUCCCUCUCAGAUUCUAAUAACUGAGAGUGAUGGGGCUAUAUUGAAUCUCUGUAUGCACUGAGAACUGAGCUAUGAAGAGGAUCUUAUUAAACUGCUGGUCUGACUUUAUGGAUUGACACUGUUCCUUUCUUUUAUUGUGAAAAAAAAAAAAAACCCUGAAAGUCUUGGGAACCCCCUAAAGUCUUUUGGGAAUCCUCAAAAAGCAUGGGAAGUUAAGUAUUUAGCUACAUAAAUGUUGUAAGAUCAUAUCUUAUGUAUAGAAGUAAUAAGACCAUUUGGAAUUACUGGACUAAUUGAAUAGUUAAGGUUUCUAUUCGGGACAAUAAAAUGUAUUUUGAAAGUGCUGCUAACUAUUGAUGCUGACAGUGUUUCACUCCUAUGAGUGACCCAAACAUAUUAUAAAUAUGUGGUAAAGGGAAUGGAGCCUGUGGGGUUGAGCAGAAUGUUGUACUAGCUGUGCCUGGACUGAGUAUAGCAGCUUUAUGAUUAUGAGAAAACAAAUUCUUUAUUUUUUUUUCUGUUCCAAAGAUUCAUCCUAUGGGGUGGCCAUAAAGUCUAGAAUUAGAUACUAAUAUUUUGUCAUUCAUUAUAACAUAUCAAUAAACCAUUUGUUAAAAGAUUUGCCUGGUUUCCAGACUUGGUGGCCACCUUGAAUAAUUCUUGCUGUCUUCUGGGAAGGAUGAUGAAAUUUAUUCCUGCUGCCUUAAAAAUAUGUAUCCCUUCUUCACCCAUCAUGACUGUCCCCAGUGAGUGUCCUUUACUAUUCUUGGGAGUGACUCCUGUCUAACUUUUCAUACUGGCGAGAAGAAAAGAGGCCUAUUUUAACACUUUAGUGGUGUUGAAACACAUUACUUACUUUCUGAAGAUGUCCCAGUGAAUCCUCUGUCAAUUCACUGCCAUAUGUAAUCUAUAUGAUAAGGAAUGCAUCUUCCAAGUACUGCCCAAACUCUUGCCAGCUCCUCUCCCAUUGUCCCUUCAUGUGAAUAUUUCUUGGCUACCUUAGUGGAAAUAUAGAUCAGUCUUCUCCCCAUCCAUCCUCUCAAACAUAAUGAGAUUGUUUACUUUUUAGAUUUAUGCAGUGAAAAUGCCCAGUCAGGUCUGAAUCGUCAGUGCAUUAUAUUGACCCUGAGCACUUUAGAAUUUAGAGUUGCAAUUGAAUGCCAGCUGUGGAGAUGGGGUGCAUAUCAGAUAUAUAAAUAAAGCUCAGGUUUGCUAGGGAACCAGGUAUAGAGAAAAAUAAGUCUGAUAUGAGGAAAAUUGCACAAUUUAGAGUAGUUAUGCCGUAGAGAAAAUUUCCACAAACUAGGAAAUGUAGAGAGUUAUUCUAUAGAAUACUCAAAAGAGGAAAGUAUGUGAUUUUUGGAAACAGGAAAAUCUUCAAACUUCUUUCUUCACUUCCCUUUGUGUUUAGCUGACCCUCCAAUGUGAUCAUUGCCUUUGGAGUUUGGGAGAGGUACGGGAAGUGGCCUGAUGCCUGCUUCCAUACUUCACUCCUCCAUCCAUCCUUCCCUCCCUCUUCCCCUCCAGCUAAAUGGACAAUUCUAGCCAACAUUGAGUCACUCAAUAAGUCUCAACAGUGGGUGUGUUUGCUGAGAUUGUCCAGCAGUUGAGCAGUUUGGUCUCACCUCCCUCGCUAGUUGAGACCAAAAAGAGACAAAUAACUUUUUCAUGGUCUUUGAAACAUAAUGCUUAUUUCGUGGUCAAUGGCUUUAAAAAAAUCUGUUUCUUGUUUUCUUCAACAAACUCACUAGUUUUCCCUUAAAUGAUAUUGUAAAAAUUAAAGUAAUCUUGAAAAUGUUUUGACAAAAGUAAAAUUAAAGGGACA
rnacentral:lncRNA from 1 species